AGUGAACGCUGGCGGUAGGCCUAACACAUGCAAGUCGAACGGCAGCACAGUAAGAGCUUGCUCUUACGGGUGGCGAGUGGCGGACGGGUGAGGAAUACAUCGGAAUCUACUUUUUCGUGGGGGAUAACGUAGGGAAACUUACGCUAAUACCGCAUACGACCUACGGGUGAAAGCAGGGGAUCUUCGGACCUUGCGCGAUUGAAUGAGCCGAUGUCGGAUUAGCUAGUUGGCGGGGUAAAGGCCCACCAAGGCGACGAUCCGUAGCUGGUCUGAGAGGAUGAUCAGCCACACUGGAACUGAGACACGGUCCAGACUCCUACGGGAGGCAGCAGUGGGGAAUAUUGGACAAUGGGCGCAAGCCUGAUCCAGCCAUACCGCGUGGGUGAAGAAGGCCUUCGGGUUGUAAAGCCCUUUUGUUGGGAAAGAGAAGCAGCAGGUUAAUACCCCGCUGUUCGGACGGUACCCAAAGAAUAAGCACCGGCUAACUUCGU
rnacentral:rRNA from 1 species